UGCCCGUUUAGACAAGGUGAUGC
rnacentral:siRNA from 1 species